GACGAACGCUGGCGGCGUGCUUAACACAUGCAAGUCGAACGGAAAGGCCCUGCUUGCAGGGUACUCGAGUGGCGAACGGGUGAGUAACACGUGGGUGAUCUGCCCUGCACUUCAGGAUAAGCCUGGGAAACUGGGUCUAAUACCGGAUAGGAGCCAUUUUUAGUGUGAUGGUUGGAAAGUUUUUUCGGUGUAGGAUGAGCUCGCGGCCUAUCAGCUUGUUGGUGGGGUAAUGGCCUACCAAGGCGGCGACGGGUAGCCGGCCUGAGAGGGUGGACGGCCACAUUGGGACUGAGAUACGGCCCAGACUCCUACGGGAGGCAGCAGUGGGGAAUAUUGCACAAUGGGCGCAAGCCUGAUGCAGCGACGCCGCGUGGGGGAUGACGGCCUUCGGGUUGUAAACUCCUUUCGCUAGGGACGAAGCUUUUUGUGACGGUACCUAGAUAAGAAGCACCGGCUAACUACGUG
rnacentral:rRNA from 1 species